rnacentral:misc_RNA from 1 species
GCCAGUCAUUGCCCAUUAUUGGAAAGUAUUGACCUAACAAACUUUCGUGGGGAUGCAGAAUUGGAGCUAGAUGGUUGCCUCAGUUUAAAGGAAAUUGAGGGAUAUUUUAACUUGGAACCAUUAGCAGCUGACAUCGUUGAAAGGCUUUUGAGAAGCAACAGCUUAUCCAUGCAAGAUUUGACUACGAACAUUCAUGUUCGCAAGAUUGACAAUCUGACCAAAACUAAUAAGAUAUGUCCCCUUCAGACACUUUCUGAGAGGGGUAUACAUAGCAUCUUUCUAACUGGUAGUGAGAUUCCAACGUGGUUCAGCCAUCAAAGUGAAGGUGAUACUGUAUCUUUUUGUGUGCCUCAGCUUGAUUCAGG